AUAUCAAUAAGCGGAGGAAAAGAAACCAACAGGGAUUGCCUCAGUAACGGCGAGUGAAGCGGCAACAGCUCAAAUUUUAAAGCCGGCGUCUUUGGCGUCCGCGUUGUAAUUUGGAGAGGCAUCUUCGGUUUGGGCGCCAGCCUAUGUUCCUUGGAACAGGACGUCACAGAGGGUGAGAAUCCCGUGCCUGGCUGGCUGUCCCUUCCCAUGUGAAGUGUCUUCGACGAGUCGAGUUGUUUGGGAAUGCAGCUCAAAAUGGGUGGUAAAUUUCAUCUAAAGCUAAAUAUUGGCGGGAGACCGAUAGCGCACAAGUAGAGUGAUCGAAAGAUGAAAAGCACUUUGAAAAUAGAGUUAAAAAGUACGUGAAAUUGUUGAAAGGGAAGCGCUUGAGACCAGACUCGGCCGUAGGCGAUCGGCGGUCCCUCGGGGCCGUGCACUCGUCGGCGGUCGGGCCAGCAUCGGUUGAGACGGCGGGAUAAAGGCUCGAGGAAUGUGGCUCCAUUCCGUGGAGUGUUAUAGCCUCGAGCGCAAUGCCGCCAGCCUCGACCGAGGACCGCGCUCUUGAGCUAGGAUGCUGGCGUAAUGGUCUCCAGCGA
rnacentral:rRNA from 1 species